rnacentral:rRNA from 1 species
AUUGAACGCUGGCGGCAGGCCUAACACAUGCAAGUCGAACGAGUGGCGGACGGGUGAGUAAUGUCUGGGAAACUGCCCGAUGGAGGGGGAUAACUACUGGAAACGGUAGCUAAUACCGCAUACCAUCGGAUGUGCCCAGAUGGGAUUAGCUAGUAGGUGGGGUAACGGCUCACCUAGGCGCCUAUCCCUCGCUGGUCUGAGAGGAUGACCAGCCACACUGGAACUGAGACAAGGUCCAGACUCCUACGGGAGGCAGCAGGUGGGAAGAUUGGACAAGGGGCGCAAGCCUGAUGCAGCCAUGCCGCGUGGAUGAAGAAGGCCUUCGGGUUGUAAAGUACUUUCAGCGAGGAGGCGUUACUCGCAGAAGAAGCACCGGCUAACCCCGGGCCAGCCGCCGCGGUAAUAC